GCGGAAGUGGCGUAACUGGUAGACGCACCAGAUUUAGGUUCUGGCGCCGCGAGGCGUAAGAGUUCAAGUCUCUUCUUCCGCACCA
rnacentral:tRNA from 1 species